UACGAAGGGGGCUAGCGUUGCUCGGAAUCACUGGGCGUAAAGGGUGCGUAGGCGGGUCUUUAAGUCAGGGGUGAAAUCCUGGAGCUCAACUCCAGAACUGCCUUUGAUACUGAAGAUCUUGAGUUCGGGAGAGGUGAGUGGAACUGCGAGUGUAGAGGUGAAAUUCGUAGAUAUUCGCAAGAACACCAGUGGCGAAGGCGGCUCACUGGCCCGAUACUAACGCUGAGGCACGAAAGCGUGGGGAGCAAACGGG
rnacentral:rRNA from 1 species